UGCUCUCAGAGCGAGAGCCAUGAAGAUGCAGACAGCUGGCUAGCCAACACCGAAAUGUUUCCCCUGUUUGAAUUAGUUCGACUUUUCACUGUGAGGGACGACUACGAUUCCAGGAACUCCCCAACUAUUGUUCGCUAUGCAUACAAAGAAGCGGGCGAAGUUAACCUGCUGGCACUUGCCUGCACCAAUGGAUAUGUCCUCCUUAGGUACAGUAGUGGAAAUGGAAAACCUCCCACCACUCACCAGUUACCAUGGCCACAGGAUAAACCUAUCAGCUCAAUGUGUUUCGACCCUACUGUGACCUGGCUCCUGGUCCUAGCAGAAGAUGCCACCCUGUUCAUCAUACCAGCACUGCCUAUCAUGGAUCCAACUGCUAAAGUCAACCAACUGUGGCGAGAAGAUGAUGUCACCAUAACGAAGGUUAAGCGACCCAAAGGCGUUCCUACUGCCCUCCUCUGGUGGCACACACUGGAUGACCGACAGAUAGCCAUCAUUGGCACAAAGAUUGGAGAAAUAAUCUUUGUGGAUCUGGUUACAAGGAAGACGUUGUAUGAUAUCAACUGUGACUGUAAAAUCAUGCAGAUUGACAUCGUGGAAGAUGACCAGCAGAUGACCACUAACCUUCUGAUUACGGACCAGUCAGGUGUCCAGUGGAAGUUACUGUUAGAGAGCCGUACACAUGAGAUUUUGUCCCUACCAGACAAGGAGCUCCUUGACCUAGGGUACAACACUGUAGAUGGAAGGAACCUCCCUAUAAUCAGCAUCACCACUCCUUCGGAUCAAACCAGAGACCUGUUUCUGCCACUGAGGUUUUACCAGUUCCAGCGAUCUGUGUUCCUGUCGCCACAGUAUGCCAAGGGACGCCAUUUUGUGGCUGCUCAUUGUGACAAGACAAACACAUAUCAGAUUUAUGACAGUGAUGUGGAACACAAUCCUCUGUUUGUGUACAAGUUACCGUUCGGUGCUUACAACGUCAUCCUGACGGACAAAGUGAUAUUUACUACGACACGACUUGGUGGGGAGAAGAGAUUGCUUGUGAUAGCUAACCAAAGGGCUGAAACCUCAGUGGACGAUCAACAGGAUUUCAACAAGGAUGCAGUCUUACAGCAGUUUGAUCUUCCCCAAGAGGAGCACCUGUUGACUGUCCUAAAGAAGUCCUAUCCUUUCUACUGGCAUGACAAACGUGAGGAAGAUCUGUGUCAGAAGAUGGCUCAGGACAUACAGCUAGGUCUGAGGCGGACCAACAGAGCUGGGCCAAACAUCCUACCAUUGACCGCAUACGACAUGCAUGUCACGAGUCACACAGUGCUCAAUGGCUGCGUCAUCAUCACAGGGUCGUCUGUGUAUGAAUGUAGGCCCAGGAUAUCACCAGAGCGGCUGUUUCUACAGAUGGCAGUCCAGCAGCUUGACCACUCCCGAACGGAGAUCCUUGGUAUAGGUCUUGGCCUUGACCUCAAUACGCUGUAUGAAGUGUCCGCUGAACAUGUGCUAAAGAGCAAGGAUUUCACACAAGCCAUCAGACUCUACAAGCUCUCAAAGUGUUCCCAUGCCAGGAGAGUGGCAAACUUUGCACAGUACGGUUGUGUUCAAGAGGUACUGACCUACGCCAGACAAGUAUUGUGUGGUCAGAACCAGGACAUCAACACCAGUGAAAGGAAGCAGCUGACCGACCUGGCCAUACACUGUUUUGUACACCAGAUACAGGAACAUUCUGGCGACAAGGCACAACUCGAGCAGUCUUUUCUUGAGUUUCUCAUCACCAACUUUUCGUAUGAAGAAAGCUUGGCUCUUUCUUUGCUAUCAGAAAAUGGUCUGAUCUAUAUCCUACUGGAACUUGCUAAGGCUCGCGGCUUAGUGAUGGAGGCAUUGGACUUGUUGGCCAAAAACGAUUACACCAGACUAGACAAUCCUGUGGUGGACAGUCUGGUCAGCAAGGGCUUCACCAACCACCUAGUUCAGGCAGCCAAAGGUACGUUUUUCCAGUCACUGUCUCCCCAGUACAGGACCGAGAUCCUGUGCUCCAAGCCUCAACUGGCCCUUCAGCAUUACGCCAUGAUACAGGACAGCAUAGCCGACCUCAGAGUGGACACGCUGGAAAACCUUGCCAACAUUUUUGACCCCUCAAGGGUUAGCCUGAGGAACCACAUAUCUAAACAUAUGAUUUCCAAGAAAAGAACUGCAAGUAUCUCCUCUCUGACCUCCCAAUGUAGUGAUGGAGAAGCUGGCCCAAUGGAGAAUACCCUGCCUGAGGCAUCAAAGUUGGUGGAUUUUUUUGUCACCAUAAUUUUACAACUCAAUAGUAAACGUGACAAAUCUGGAGACAUUCCCAACGCUGAGGAGGUACUUACCAUGAACUCCAACGAUAUAUCUAAACAGUCUCCCGAAGAAAAUUUGAAAGUGAAAGUCCGAAAGUUGACCUGUCGACCAGUACCACUUGGUGCCGGACAUCAACAUGUGGCUUUAGUGCGCAACGGUGACCUAUACACCUGGGGUCGCACUUCCCACGGCAGGUUGGGCCACGGAGACCUGGCUCCAGACAACACUGUAUCUCCCCCCUGUAGGGUGGAAACUCUCCACAUGCUCCAGGUUCGGGUCAUCUCCGUAGCUUGUGGCGGUGAACACACGCUAGCCCUCACACAGCAGGGGGUGUUUGCGUGGGGGUCAUCCCAGUAUGGUCAGGUUGGAAUCGGUACGAGACAUAUCUACAGCCGACCCAUGCAGGUCAACAAGCUCUCGUCCGUCCAGUGUGUGAGUGUGGAGACCGGUCAAUAUCACUCCCUGGCUCUGACUGUUGAUGGAGAAGUUUAUAGCUGGGGCUGGGGAGUUCAUGGACAGCUCGGUCAUGGUAGUAUAGAGGACGCUUUGGUCCCGUCCCACGUACAGGCACUGUCAGACAAACAGAUCAUCAGGGUGUGUGGAGGAUACUGUCAUACCGUGGCCCUCUCCUCUGAGGGAGAGGUGUACUCGUUUGGGUGUGGAUUCUUUGGCCAGCUUGGUUUGGCAACAAACAAAAAACAGACAUUACCAGUGAGAAUACACGCUUUGAAGGGGAAGGUGGUCUUAGUCAGCACCAAGUUCUUCCACAAUAUCGCAGUCACGCAGAGUAACCAUGUGUUCUCCUGGGGUUGCCAUCCAUUCAACCUCCGAUUUGCGGCACAUUCCAUCCGUAAGGCACGCCAGGCCGGUGCUGUGGUCGGGGAUCCUGUCGACCACUUCCUACUGCCAGAUCUAGUCGACACCUGCUUUGUACAUGGCCGUAUUACCCAGGCUGUUUGUGGCAGCUCCCACUCGGCACUGGUCACUUUGGACGGAGACGUGUAUACCUGGGGUAGAAACAUGGACGGACAGAUCGGAAACAACACAAGACAGGACAUGAAAAUUCCGAGUAUGGUGACUAAUAUAAAUGAUCGCAGUGUGACACACAUCACCAUUGGAGGAGAGUUCAACAUCGCACAGGACUCCGACGGACUUGUCUGGGGCUGGGGAAAGAAUGACAUGGGUCAGGUAAAACAGGAGAAGUUAGAACCGUCCCCCACCACCUCCACCCACAAGGUCAUCAAGACCCACAACAGACGGCGCGCAGGUAGUGGCAUCACUGAGCUCCUUUUACCCACGGUCUGUCAGGGAUUUCCGAAUGCCAAACCAACUUCAUCACUAUGGCGACCAUCUCAUCUGACAAGGUCCGGGUCAUAUGAUGGUUCAGAUGGAGAAACAUGGUGGUCUGAGGACAACCAAGAUGACGUCCAGUUAGAUCUUCUUCCUGACCUCCAAUCACUUGGCAACAGAAAGUAUGGCCGUAUCACCAUACAUGAAGUCUUACAGCACCUGUCUGAGUUGUGUAACUGUAUGAAGAUACUGCGACAGUGUGUGAACGUUGAAGACUGGCUCAGUGCUGCCUAUGUCUGUCUCUACCAAAACAAUUAUGCACAGGCCCUGGCCUUCCAUCUGAAGGCACUGUCCUCCUACUCCAUGGUGUUUGGCAGUGAUUUCCUACAGAGUACGGAGAGAGUCGUCCAGCACUAUCUCAGACUUUGUAUAACACAAGAGCUGCCAGCCUCCCAGAAAGAGGAGAACUACAGACUUGUCCUUAUACAGAUGCUGGAACACUGGGAGAAACAUGACUUGUCUGUCAGCAGUCUGGAGGUUUUACUGGCGGACCACAUGGACAGUGUGUGCUGUAUUCUCAGUACAUUCCUUUUCUGGAAAAAUCCAAGGACUGAUGAUGGAGGAGAGACCAUGGAAAUGCCGAUUUGCAUAGGCGUUUCUGGCCAAUUUAUGAUGCAUUUUACUACUAAGUUCUGUCUCCAUGUCCUCCAAAAGGUCUUUGAUAAAAUGCUUCUCUCCGACUUUGAAAAGAGAUACCCAGUCAGUUACGGAUCAUUAAAAAGAUUACUGACCUGUCGGAUAGGGUCAAGCGAAUCCGACCUUGACCUUCAGCCAGGUGAUAAACUUGUACCGUUCGAUCAACUGUGGCAAGAUGUGGUUCGAAACCUUCAAAAGGGUUCAGAAUCACGUGACUAUAUAUACAUCACGCGAACAGAUAUUGAUCACAUGACGGAGAAACUUGGGCAGACCCAAGGACCGCAGUCCAUCCAGGAGGAAGUGAACUCACAGGAGCCAAAUGCGGUGCUGUUCACAUGUGGUCACCACUAUACACGACGGAACUUCAUGGAUGAAGUGACGGUCAAGUUCAACAAGGAGCUCUCCCAGGGCCCGUCCAGCCUCCCGGGGAGUGCUUCUCUAUUGAUGCAGUACUACUGUAGGCAGGGAUUACUUCCCCUGGCUUGUCCAAAGUGUGUACUUAAUACACUGCAUACUGCAAUGUAGGUUUCAUUCCAUGGGUCUGAUUAGGUCAGUAGUUAACUCAAACAUUCACCCCCACAUGUUUAAACUGGACUUACCAAGUCUUUGAUUUGGUAAGGUUCAAAUGUGACUUUAGGGGUGAAUGAGUUGAGGAUGGAUGUUUAGUGUUUUUUAGCAGUAUUUUACUGUUUAAAAGAUAUGAAGCUUUAUGGUUAUUUUUCAAGCAUCCAUGAAGUUCUGACCUUUUUAUUAAUACCACUAAUGAAAUAGAAUUCUGAGGAUCAGUGGCAAAAUAAUGCCAAAUAUUUUUUGACUUACAUUGGGCCAAUAAAAAAUAAGCUGCCCUAUAACGCUUAUAUUAUACCUGUCAUGCUGUUUGCAGUGAACAAAAAGAUGAAAGCUAUGGUAGUGGAUGUAUAUAGUUGACUGUUAAUAUCAAGGCAAGGUAAAGCCUGAAAAUCCUUGAUAUGAAAGUAGACCCGUCCUUCCUAUACAACACAAACUGACCAUGUGCCACAAGUUUCUUACAUACUGUCCUGAUUGGAUUGUGAAGGGUAGCAAAUUGCGAAGGAUUGCUUAAAUGUAUCUUACUGUUUGUAUGCCACAUAAAAGGUUUUUAAUGCAUUAUAUAUAACAGAAAUGUUUGUCAAUAAUGCUUGAAAAUACUGAAAAUCAGAGGCUACAUAUUUUAAGGUAGUCAGUGUUACUUUUAAACCUGAUUGAUUUAUCAAAGGGUCAAGUGAUUUAAAUGAAAUUAUAUCAAGAUUCUAUUUAUUCAAAUGUAUUUGACGCACUGCAUGUUGAGGAAGCCUAAGAUAUUUUUUCUGAUUUCUAUGAUUGUCAAAAUAUCCCCAAUUUUUCAAUGUUUAUUUACCUUGGUGCUUUGUGAAUUGUGUUACCAUUUCUCCCCAAUGAAUUGGUUACCAUGUUUUUUUACAAGAUUUACAGAGAUUUACAUAUGAUUGUAAUUAGAAUAAGUGAUGAUCAAUUAUCAUGUUUAUCUAAAGAUUUAAACUUUAUUGUUAUUUCAACUUAAAUACUCUUGUUGGCCCGAGUGUAAGUGCACGGGGUGGGGUUAAUGUGUGAGGAAACCGGAGUACCCAGAGAAAACCUUCAUGGUAGGGUAGGUGAUCCCAUACCUUUUCACGUCCAAUCAGGGAAUCUGACCCUAGCCACCUUGGUGAAAGGCGGGUGUAUCUUUAACUGCGGGAUACGACCACCUAUAGAGUAAGUUGUAGAGGUUCUCCGAGAUUUAAGGCCAGUAAUCAUGUUAUCUAAGUGGAAUUAGUCAAAGAGGUUCCCCACAAUGUGAUGUUUGGUUAUGACUUUGCUAUAAAUCUUAUUAAUUGUUUGAUAUUUUAAAAGGCACAAGAUUUACCAAAGGUAUUUGAAAAUCUGAAAUCAAAUAAUGAGAAUUAGUUAAAUAUGACAGUCAAUACUCACGAGUUGGGGAUCUGUUUUCUCCCUUUAGCAUUUAUAAUUUGUUUAAAUCAAUGAAUUUCUACAAAAAUGUACUUCCCAGCUUGAAAAAAAAAUAGGCAUUAUUUUCUUAUAUAUGUGUUUAAUAUGAUGUCACAAAACUUUGUGAAUGUUCUAAGUUCACACAAAGAUUGUUAUUAACAAACGACAAAGCUCCCAAUGAGUUACCCACAUAUGGGUACAUGUAUAUCAUAUGUUUAACCUAAGUGUUGCAGUUGUGUAAUUAUGGAAGAAAAUUCAUGCUAGAAAGUUUUACUGGUUGUGUCCAGGUACAGAGGCCAGCUAUUGAUUGAUAGGGGAAAUUUACUCCAGGUUGAUAUGAAAUUUACUCCAGGUGGAUAUGAAAUCUACUCCAGGUGGAUAUGAAAUUUACUCCAGGUGGAUAUGAAAUCUACUCCAGGUUGAUAUGAAAUUUACUCCAGGUUGAUACGAAAUUUACUCCAGGUGGAUAUGAAAUCUACUCCAGGUGGAUAUGAAAUCUACUCCAGGUGGAUAUGAAAUCCACUCCAGGUGGAUAUGAAAUUUACUCCAGGUGGAUAUGACUUAGUAUUAUUAGCUUAUAUCAGUUCCACCUUUCCAAUAACUUCUAGCUUUAAACUUUUGUAACUUAUACAAAACUGUUGGCAUGUCAUGGUUCAUGGAUAUUCCUAGCUAAUGGUUACCUUACCAAUCAUAGUAUAUUCUAAUUGCAAAUAUCUCAUAAGGAUAUUUAAUAAUUAGUUUAAUGCUAUGUUACAAACUUUUUAUAAUUCUUCCAUAUUUUUUGAAAGACUGCAAUAAUUCUAUGAAACUUUCUUUAAAACUAAUAUUUACUACCACUACAUGGUGUUCUGUGUACCAUUUUCAAGUCUUACAUCUGAACGUCAAGGUCACAAUAUUUUUUUCAGAUGUAUGUGUUGCAACUACUUAAAUUGUGAGAGAGCUGGAUUAUGGGGACAAUUUAGGACUGACUGUAGACUACUGUGACUGGAGGUGUCGACAGUGAAGAGGAUACAUCAUACUUGCCAUCAUUAGUUCCCCACCGGUUCUUUAUUUUGACCUCUGACUGCAAUCAUUGGAAAAAUAGCCCUUUUCUGUAUCAGGAUACUUUCUGUACUGUAGGUUGAUACUGAGAUAGGUGUACAGCUCGGUAAGAAAUCAUUACCGGUGGGGGACUAGUACAGCUCGGUAAG
rnacentral:misc_RNA from 1 species